rnacentral:rRNA from 1 species
GAUGAACGCUGGCGGCGUGCUUAACACAUGCAAGUCGAACGAAGCACCUUGAUUUGAUUCUUCGGAUGAAGAUCUUGGUGACUGAGUGGCGGACGGGUGAGUAACGCGUGGGUAACCUGCCUCAUACAGGGGGAUAACAGUUAGAAAUGACUGCUAAUACCGCAUAAGACCACAGCACCGCAUGGUGCAGGGGUAAAAACUCCGGUGGUAUGAGAUGGACCCGCGUCUGAUUAGGUAGUUGGUGGGGUAACGGCCUACCAAGCCGACGAUCAGUAGCCGACCUGGGAGGGUGACCGGCCACAUUGGGACUGAGACACGGCCCAAACUCCUACGGGAGGCAGCAGUGGGGAAUAUUGCACAAUGGGGGAAACCCUGAUGCAGCGACGCCGCGUGAGCGAUGAAGUAUUUCGGUAUGUAAAGCUCUAUCAGCAGGGAAGAAAAUGACGGUACCUGACUAAGAAGCACCGGCUAAAUACGUG